CCUACGGGUGGCAGCAGUAGGGAAUAUUGCUCAAUGGGGGAAACCCUGAAGCAGCAACGCCGCGUGGCGGAUGAAGGUUUUAGGAUUGUAAACUCCUUUUGUUAGAGAAGAUUAUGACGGUUUCUAACGAAUAAGCACCGGCUAACUCCGUACCAGCAGCCGCGGUAAUACGGAGGGUGCAAGCGUUACUCGGAAUCACUGGGCGUAAAGGGGGCGUAGGUGGUUUGACAAGUUGGUAGCGUAACUCCGGAGCUCAACUUCGGAAGUACUACCAAAACUGGUGGACGCGAGUGCAGGAGUGGCAACUGGAAUUGCUAGUGUAGCGGUGGAAUGCGUAGAUAUUAGGAAGAACACCGGUGGCGAAGGCGAGUUGCUGGACUGUAACUGACGUUGAGGCUCGAAGGCGUGGGGAGCAAACAGGAUUAGAUACCCGUGUAGUC
rnacentral:rRNA from 1 species